GAUGAACGCUGGCGGCGUGCCUAAUACAUGCAAGUCGAGCGAACGGACGAGAAGCUUGCUUCUCUGAUGUUAGCGGCGGACGGGUGAGUAACACGUGGAUAACCUACCUAUAAGACUGGGAUAACUUCGGGAAACCGGAGCUAAUACCGGAUAAUAUUUUGAACCGCAUGGUUCAAAAGUGAAAGACGGUCUUGCUGUCACUUAUAGGUGGAUCCGCGCUGCAUUGGCUAGUUGGUAAGGUAACGGCUUACCAAGGCAACGAUGCAUAGCCGACCUGAGAGGGUGAUCGGCCACACUGGAACUGAGACACGGUCCAGACUCCUACGGGAGGCAGCAGUAGGGAAUCUUCCGCAAUGGGCGAAAGCCUGACGGAGCAACGCCGCGUGAGUGAUGAAGGUCUUCGGAUCGUAAAACUCUGUUAUUAGGGAAGAACAUAUGUGUAAGUAACUGUGCACAUCUUGACGGUACCUAAUCAGAAAGCCACGGCUAACUACGUG
rnacentral:rRNA from 1 species